rnacentral:lncRNA from 1 species
GCGUUUAGGGUUUAGGGUUUUAGUGUUUUUUAUUUAGAGUUUAAGAUUUAUCCAAGGGUUUAGAGUUUACCCAUGGGUUUAGGGUUUACCCAAGGGUUUAGAGUUUAUCCAAAGGUUUAGGGUUUAGGAUUUAGGGUUUAGGGAUUAGGAUUUAGGGUUUAGUGUUUUGUUGAGAAUAUUAAAAAAAUAUUUUUUUUUUAAUUUUUUUUCCGUAACUAUUAUCUUUUUUUACUUUUUUAUUUUAAAAACAUAAUAUAAUUUGAGAAUAUUUUGUUUACUUUUUUAAAAGAUAUUGAAUUUAAAAUAAUGAAAUCCUAUUGGUUGGUGAACCUAGAGGUUCACCCUAGGGGGUGAACCCAAGAAUGACUCCUUUUUUUAACCUUUUGAAAUCAACAAGAUCUCAAAUCUGAUUUUAUUCAAACUCACUUACUCUUAUGUCAUAACAUCUAUUCAUUAUUCAUUUUUGUUGCCACUUAUAGCUUCCCAAAAACUGAAUGGAUCAUCUGUAUCAACUGCAAGAACAAUGUUACCUUUUUCUUUACAUCCAUAAUCUAAUAGGAGGCUUAAAUACACAUUUUUAUGCUGGCAACCAUGAUGUCCCUUACUCCACGUGUUUUUUCUUUCUCUGCAGACUACUCCCACC